rnacentral:rRNA from 1 species
GAUGAACGCUGGCGGCGUGCCUAAUACAUGCAAGUCGAACGCGAGAGGAGGGAGCUUGCUCCCUCUGAUCGAGUGGCGGACGGGUGAGUAACACGUAGGCAACCUGCCCAUCAGUCCGGGAUAACCGCGGGAAACCGUGGCUAAUACCGGAUGAUCCUCUCCACCGCGGGGUGGGGAGUUGAAAGACGGUUUCGGCUGUCGCUGAUGGAUGGGCCUGCGGCGCAUUAGCUGGUUGGCGGGGUAACGGCCCACCAAGGCAACGAUGCGUAGCCGACCUGAGAGGUGGAUCGGCCACACUGGGACUGAGACACGGCCCAGACUCCUACGGGAGGCAGCAGUAGGGAAUCUUCCGCAAUGGACGCAAGUCUGACGGAGCAACGCCGCGUGAGUGAAGAAGGGUUUCGGCUCGUAAAACUCUGUUGUUAAGGAAGAACGACAGGUAGAGUAACUGCUACCUGUGUGACGGUACUUAACCAGAAAGCCACGGCUAACUACGUGCCAGCCGCCGCCGUAA